UGGGGAAUUUUGGACAAUGGGGGAAACCCUGAUCCAGCCAUCCCGCGUGUGCGAUGAAGGCCUUCGGGUUGUAAAGCACUUUUGGCAGGAAAGAAACGUCAUGGGUUAAUACCCCGUGAAACUGACGGUACCUGCAGAAUAAGCACCGGCUAACUACGUGCCAGCAGCCGCGGUAAUACGUAGGGUGCAAGCGUUAAUCGGAAUUACUGGGCGUAAAGCGUGCGCAGGCGGUUCGGAAAGAAAGAUGUGAAAUCCCAGAGCUCAACUUUGGAACUGCAUUUUUAACUACCGGGCUAGAGUGUGUCAGAGGGAGGUGGAAUUCCGCGUGUAGCAGUGAAAUGCGUAGAUAUGCGGAGGAACACCAAUGGCGAAGGCAGCCUCCUGGGAUAACACUGACGCUCAUGCACGAAAGCGUGGGGAGCAAACAGG
rnacentral:rRNA from 1 species